rnacentral:rRNA from 1 species
UACGGAGGGUGCAAGCGUUAUCCGGAUUCACUGGGUUUAAAGGGUGCGUAGGUGGGCAGGUAAGUCAGUGGUGAAAUCUCCAAGCUUAACUUGGAAACUGCCGUUGAUACUAUCUGUCUUGAAUACCGUGGAGAUGAGCGGAAUAUGUCAUGUAGCGGUGAAAUGCUUAGAUAUGACAUAGAACACCGAUAGCGAAGGCAGCUUACUACAUGUUCAUUGACGCUGAGGCACGAAAGCGUGGGGAGCAAACAGG